GCCCCUGUAGCUCAAUGGAUAGAGCUCCGGACUUCUAAUCCGUAGGUUGUGGGUUCGAAUCCCGCCAGGGGCG
rnacentral:tRNA from 1 species